AAACUGAUUACCCCCAGAAAACAGCGGUCCAUUAGAUAACAGUCUUCCCUUCAGGGGUUGCAGUGGUGCACACAUACUUGCAGAGAAAUACCCAGGACUGUGCAUUAACGACACGCAUUGACAGUUUUGUCAUGCUGUUGUCUAACGAUUAUGGAUUUUUUCAUUAUCAUUUAACUUUCCUUGACAGACAGACAAGGGUGGCAGAAUAACUAACUGAAGAUGACAUGGUCAUCCAAAAAUUUAGAAAAUUGUGGUCAUUAGCAAAGAUAGGCAUCACCCAGGAACAACAAUUACAACUGACAAGAGUAAACAACCCAUUAGGAGGAACACAGUCCUGUGAUGUGGCAAUUGUAGGACCAGGUGACAGAAUUCAGACAUUUGGAUCUGACAAAUAAACACAGGUGAGUGUUCCCCAGCUGAUGGUGGUGAAAUCAUGCAGCGGUCAAGGCAAUGUCAUGAUCAUCUGAUUCGACAAUGAUGGAAACAGAAGAGUUUGUCUGACACAUUACAGAAUAACAGAAAUUUCACCAGGAGCUGAAGAUUUCCCCAUUUCCCUAAAGAAACGUGACAUUUUUUAGAUUUACUAUAACUAAUCCCUACAUAACACAAGGUCAGGAUUGGAAAUUAAACAAUAUCAUACACCAUACAAAAAACAUAAACAAACAUUUUCUCCGACGGAAUUCGGAAGACGAUACGGUAGUAAAAUUUACGAGUUUUUAGCGUUUACUAUAGGGAUCCCCCUCGCCUAGGGGGCUGAUCGUAUCUUACCCGGGUGGAUCUCUCAGUUUCUGAGAGCUUCUUGUCGAAUUUGAGGCCCGGGUUGGGCUUCUGGGCCAAAAGUCCCACAUGGUCUCCAUUCUCCACGUCUGCCUCCGACAUUUUGCUUUCUGUACAUUAACAUGUGAUACAAACUUCCGGUUUGGUUACAUUUGCGCGCGAAAUACGAAAUCAAGUCUGACUGAAAACUAUUCGUACCACAAAUCUGCCUUUUAUAUACAGACGAUUUCAUUUUGAAUUAGCUCCGUAGUUUUAAUAUUACGUGCAGUUAUUUAUCGAAAUUCUUUGCUAAGUGCUUUUACGGAGAAAUACUACAUACUGGGAGAGGGGUUCGACCCUCCUAUCAACCGAUUCAUCAGUAAAUUUCUUUUUAUUUCAUUUUAUUUUAAUAAAGUUCAGUGAAGGACUAUAUAACUUAUUUAUGAUAAAAAAAAUACUUUGAGACCGGGGUGUUAAAAAGACCGCGUACUUAUUUUUAAACCAAGUUUAAACAUCUGAAAUUUUUAACUCUAGAUGAAAAUGUUUAUUUCACACUUGUUUGCAAAUAUUAUUAAAUCAACAUUUGUAAGUAAAUUAAAAUGCUAUAUAGUAAAUCAUUUCUUGUGAUGAACAGCUAUAUAUGUUUUUCAUGUUACAUGUAAAUCAAUGUAUAUGUCAUAUUAAACUUUUUUGAAUAAAAUACUAUUAUUCAUUAU
rnacentral:sRNA from 1 species